UACAGAGGGUGCAAGCGUCAAUCGGAAUGACUGGGCGUAAAGAGCGCGUAGGUGGUUAUAUAAGUCAGAUGUGAAAGACCUGGGCUUAACCUGGGGGUGUCAUUUGAUACUGUAUGACUGGAGUACGGGAGAGGAAGGUGGAAUUUCCGGUGUAGCGGUGAAAUGCGUAGAGAUCGGAAAGAACACCGGUGGCGAAGGCGGCCUUCUGGCCUGAUACUGACACUGAGGCGCGAAAGCGUGGGGAGCAAACAGG
rnacentral:rRNA from 1 species